UGCGCCCCCUCCCCCCGGGCGCCGCUCCUCGCGCGGGGAGGCGGCUGCGGCUUCGCGCGACCCAGCGGGAAGGGAGGGAGCGCGGGAGGGUCCCGGGUCCCAGGAGCGGGCGGGCAGUCCCGCAGCUGGAAACGUGUCUUUUGCCUUCUUUUCUCUACUCCCUGCGCCUGGAGUUGCCGCUUCCAAGAAGAGGAGCUGAGGGGGACUAGCCGGGGCUCAGGAGCUGCUAGAGGCGCCGGCUUGUCUUCCGCCCCCUCCCUCCUCGCCCUCCCCCGCUUGCCGUGGCUCUCGCGGUCUCUGGAGCGUCUUCAGAGAACUGGGGGGGGCGGGAGGUGCCCUGGCCCCAGAGCCGCUGGACGCCCCUCCAGACACCAAAGCUACCGGCCCCCGCCUGCUUCGCUGCUACGACUGUAGAGGAGGGGGCUUGGGAAGGGAAGAUAACUCCUUUCCUUCUGUCUCUCCUUUGGGCCCCUUCGAAAACAUUAAACAAUGUUUACGCUUUUCGAUAGUUGAGAUAGAACGGUUGGAAGCUUGUUGAAAGUUGAAAAGAAAUGCACUCUUCCACAUUGUCAAAUGCAUUACUGUCUGUGUGGCUUUCUGGUCCUUUUCCACCACCCACCUCACGCCCCCCGCCACCUCCCCCCUCCCCGCAGCUGUUAUCCUUUUUAAGGAUGCUGAAGAGGCAGGAGGCAGGGAUUUUCUAAAAGUUCUAUUGAUAAACACACUUGCACAAACAUAUGCUAGGCACACACAUAAACUAUAAACAUUAGCGAAAAACACAAUAUGGCGUACAGCUACACUACCUAGCGCGGUAAUCCGCUGAUCUCUUAACACUGAACUCAGUUGAAUGGGGUCAGUAGCAGGAUGACAGUUCUCAAGUAAAAAUCUCACAGAAACAGGAAGUAAUUUGGAAGUCUGUGGGCUAAAUAACGUCCUCAGAAUCAGCAUUGGCACACAACCUUUCUAGACCUGUGGAAAUUGUCUUCACUCCUUACCAUUAAUGGUAAAGUAUAGUAAAUGAUGCUAAAAAGUGUGGUAACAUAAUGCUAACGUGGAGGGUUUCUCACUGCCUGGUCGUGUAAAUAAAUUCUAGUAGAAUUAACAGAGGCCACUCCUUCCGCAAUGUUUUCAGGCGAGUUCUAUUCCAAAGUUACUAUCAUUAACUUGUUGCUAGUGGAAGUUUGAAAACAAAUUGUAACGACCAUUUUGUAAAUUAAUUCUUUAGCUGUAAACACUAAAUUUAAAUAAAUAGUUGUAUUAGCAAAUUCAGUUCAUAAAUGAUUUCCUUUCUUACCUGUUGCUCCUAAUCCCAAGUACCAUUUGCUAUCACAUGGGAAUAGUUAAAAUAUACCCACCUCUGCUCCUCAUUAAGUUUGACCAGGCCAGAUUUGGCUUCUGCAUUUCACCUUUACAACUAGGUACUUCUAGGUUUCUAGGAAAAGGGGAGGGAUAGCAAUUUACAUUGAUUUUACAUGCUUUUGUUAGCUCUUUUCAUUUGUAGUCAGAAUGUAUCAAAGUUGGUGCACAGGUAGUGCAUGGUGAUAUCACUGUGCCCUCCCAGGAAUGGUCUUCUCUCCAAACAGAUUUUGGAAUUGCCCUUGAAGAAUUGCUGAUGUUACUCUUUGUUCCGGGCUCAAGGUUUGAUUCCUAAGAUUGUGGUUGUGAUUUCCAUUGAGCUCAAUUUUGGAGGGCUUUAGGGUUAAGAAUCUAUGGUGCUCAAGUAAACAGGUGAAAGUAAGAAGAAAAGUGAAUUUUCUAGAAAUAUACUAGCUGCUCAGUGAGUCCAGCAGUUGGGUAUUUUGGUUUUGUGAUUUCAGAUCUCACAGACCAGUGGAAUACAGGCCUUUUGCAUAUGAAGAUCAGGUGACAAGUUAACUGUCUACCAGCCUCCAAAGCAAUACGCCCUUUCAUGGCACACAAAAACAAGUAUUAAGAAUUGCCCUUUGAGACUCUGAAGGCUGAAGAGUGCUUGAUAAACUGCACCGUCUGUCUGUGUGCCUUAGCUGCACAGACUGCCUGAAGUUACAUUUAGAGACUAAAAUCACUGCACCUUAAAAACAAAAGAUUGAGCUGCACUGCAUUCCUAAUGUUUCGCCAUCACUAACUGGAUAUUUCUCACAACAUUGCUUUCUGGUGUUUUCUGUGGAAGGGCAGUGAGAAAGAUGGAGGAAGGUAUUCUUUAAUAUCUUAUUAUAAACCCACGAGGUGUCAUUGCUUUCAGUGGGACUUUGGAGAGGAAACUGUCAGAAGACAUAUCUGUGUCAUGGCAAAAAAAAAA